rnacentral:lncRNA from 1 species
GGCAGGAGGGUGAGGUUGAAGUGACAGGAGCACCCAUUUAGAGAUCGGAAAAAGAAUGGGAACGCUUCUGGUCGUGAGAACUUCCCGCCAAAGCUGAACUGUGGUCCUGGCUGUAGAAGGGUGCCAGAACUGCGCGCCUCCCGCAGGUGGAGAGUAGCAAUAAAUCUGGGACCUGGACGAGCAGGACGCUCCUGCAGGCCGCCUACCUUCUAAAAGAGCCAUUACCCCGACUGGAGGGGGUCCACCAAGAAUUGAAUGGGGCCACGGGGGAACUCAGUAAUAGCAGAUUUCUAUCCAGAGGAAAGUCAUUAGCUUUAAUGGCUUCGUAGUUCAAAGUUACGUGUCAUCUGACCAGGCUCUAGAUGUGUUUUUUAGUUACCUUUAUGGUGAAAACAUUGUUGGAAGAACCAAGGUUGCCUAAGUGUGGAACAUUUGUCCAGCUCUUCAUCCCACCCUCAUCAUUCUUUCUAGCAGUAAACAAGGUGGGUGUCCUUUGUACUAGCCAACUUACUUUAGCUCUUGACCUUUGUGACAUUUUACCUGCAUCUGAAGCACCA